rnacentral:rRNA from 1 species
GAUGAACGCUGGCGGCGUGCCUAAUACAUGCAAGUCGAGCGAACAGACGAGGAGCUUGCUCCUCUGACGUUAGCGGCGGACGGGUGAGUAACACGUGGAUAACCUACCUAUAAGACUGGGAUAACUUCGGGAAACCGGAGCUAAUACCGGAUAACAUGUUGAACCGCAUGGUUCAACAGUGAAAGACGGUCUUGCUGUCACUUAUAGAUGGAUCCGCGCCGCAUUAGCUAGUUGGUAAGGUAACGGCUUACCAAGGCAACGAUGCGUAGCCGACCUGAGAGGUGAUCGGCCACACUGGAACUGAGACACGGUCCAGACUCCUACGGGAGGCAGCAGUAGGGAAUCUUCCGCAAUGGGCGAAAGCCUGACGGAGCAACGCCGCGUGAGUGAUGAAGGUCUUCGGAUCGUAAAACUCUGUUAUUAGGGAAGAACAAAUGUGUAAGUAACUAUGCACGUCUUGACGGUACCUAAUCAGAAAGCCACGGCUAACUACGUG